rnacentral:rRNA from 1 species
GAUUGACCUCGGAUCAGGUAGGGAUACCCGCUGAACUUAAGCAUAUCAAUAAGCGGAGGAAAAGAAACCAACAGGGAUUGCCUCAGUAACGGCGAGUGAAGCGGCAACAGCUCAAAUUUGAAAUCUGGCUCCUUCGGGGCCCGAGUUGUAAUUUGUAGAGGACGUUUCGGGUGCGGCCCGGUCUAAGUCCCUUGGAACAGGGCGUCAUAGAGGGUGAGAAUCCCGUAUGUGACCGGUGACCAACCCCAUGUGAAACCCCUUCGACGAGUCGAGUUGUUUGGGAAUGCAGCUCAAAAUGGGUGGUAAAUUCCAUCUAAAGCUAAAUACUGGCCAGAGACCGAUAGCGCACAAGUAGAGUGAUCGAAAGAUGAAAAGCACUUUGGAAAGAGAGUCAAACAGUACGUGAAAUUGUUGAAAGGGAAGCGCUGGCAACCAGACCUGCCCCGGGCGAUCAGCGGGUGUUCUCACCCGUGCACUCGCCCGCGAUCAGGCCAGCAUCGGUUUCGGCGGUCGGAUACAGACCCGGGGAACGUGGCUCUCUUCGGGGAGUGUUAUAGCCCCGGGUGCAAUGCGGCCAGCCGGGACCGAGGACCGCGCUUCGGCUAGGAUGCUG